rnacentral:rRNA from 1 species
GACGAACGCUGGCGGCGUGCUUAACACAUGCAAGUCGAACGGAAAGGCCCUGCUUUUGUGGGGUGCUCGAGUGGCGAACGGGUGAGUAACACGUGAGUAACCUGCCCUUGACUUUGGGAUAACUUCAGGAAACUGGGGCUAAUACCGGAUAGGAGCUCCUGCUGCAUGGUGGGGGUUGGAAAGUUUCGGCGGUUGGGGAUGGACUCGCGGCCUAUCAGCUUGUUGGUGGGGUAGUGGCUUACCAAGGCUUUGACGGGUAGCCGGCCUGAGAGGGUGACCGGCCACAUUGGGACUGAGAUACGGCCCAGACUCCUACGGGAGGCAGCAGUGGGGAAUAUUGCGCAAUGGGCGGAAGCCGGAUGCAGCAACGCCGCGUGCGGGAUGACGGCCUUCGGGUUGUAAACCGCUUUCGCCUGUGACGAAGCGUGAGUGACGGUAAUGGGGAAAGAAGCACCGGCUAACUACGU